GAUGAACGCUGGCGGCGUGCCUAAUACAUGCAAGUCGAACGCAUUGUGGUUGAAAUGAUAUGAAGAACUUGUUCAGAUUUGAUUUUCAACAUUGCAAUGAGUGGCGAACGGGUGAGUAACACGUGGGAAACCUACCUCUUAGCAGGGGAUAACAUUUGGAAACAAAUGCUAAUACCGUAUAAUAAUUAAAACCGCAUGGUUUUAGUUUAAAAGAUGGUCUUGCUAUCACUAAGAGAUGGUCCCGCGGUGUAUUAGUUAGUUGGUGAGGUAAUGGCUCACCAAGACAAUGAUACAUAGCCGAGUUGAGAGACUGACCGGCCACAAUGGGACUGAGACACGGCCCAUACUCCUACGGGAGGCAGCAGUAGGGAAUCUUCCACAAUGGACGAAAGUCUGAUGGAGCAACGCCGCGUGUGUGAUGAAGGGUUUCGGCUCGUAAAACACUGUUGUAAGAGAAGAAUGACAUUGAGAGUAACUGUUCAAUGUGUGACGGUAUCUUACCAGAAAGGAACGGCUAAAUACGUGCCAGCAGCCGCGGUAAUACGUAUGUUCCAAGCGUUAUCCGGAUUUAUUGGGCGUAAAGCGAGCGCAGACGGUUAUUUAAGUCUGAAGUGAAAGCCCUCGGCUCAACCGAGGAAUUGCUUUGGAAACUGGAUAACUUGAGUGCAGUAGAGGAAAGUGGAACUCCAUGUGUAGCGGUGAAAUGCGUAGAUAUAUGGAAGAACACCAGUGGCGAAGGCGGCUUUCUGGACUGUAACUGACGUUGAGGCUCGAAAGUGUGGGUAGCAAACAGGAUUA
rnacentral:rRNA from 1 species